GCUGAAACGUAUUAAGUCAUAAAAAAAAUUAUCCAUGAUUAUUGAUGAUGAUAUGCUUAAAGGUUAAAAUAAAUUAUGAGAUCUGUUACUUUUAUCUUCAAGAAUCACGUUAAUAGCAACUUACCACGCAGAUGAUGGAUUCUCAUCCAGUAAAAGCCAAUAAGAAGAUAUACACCAGUAAUUACACCACUGGAGGAAUGGAGGGACAAGAAUUAUCUGUGAUGGUGAAUGGCUUUA
rnacentral:misc_RNA from 1 species